rnacentral:rRNA from 1 species
AACGAACGCUGGCGGCAGGCUUAACACAUGCAAGUCGAGCGCCCCGCAAGGGGAGCGGCAGACGGGUGAGUAACGCGUGGGAAUCUACCCAACUCUACGGAAUAACUCAGGGAAACUUGUGCUAAUACCGUAUACGCCCUUCGGGGGAAAGAUUUAUCGGAGUUGGAUGAGCCUGCGUUCGAUUAGCUAGUUGGUGGGGUAAAGGCCUACCAAGGCGAUGAUCGAUAGCUGGUUUGAGAGGAUGAUCAGCCACACUGGGACUGAGACACGGCCCAGACUCCUACGGGAGGCAGCAGUGGGGAAUAUUGGACAAUGGGGGCAACCCUGAUCCAGCAAUGCCGCGUGUGUGAAGAAGGUCUUCGGAUUGUAAAGCACUUUCGACGGGGGCGAUGAUGACGGUACCCGUAGAAGAAGCCCCGGCUAACUUCGUGCCAGCCGCCGCCGUAAGAC